UUGUAUUUGAACUGUAUAGGACUGUAUUCACAGCAUGAAACAGGGGAUUACAACUGUUUUUAAACGAAAAGUGAAUCAAUUAACAUAGUAGACACCU
rfam:Nicotiana sylvestris Nsyl_contig234380, whole genome shotgun sequence.